CAGCCUCUUCUCCGUCCCCGGGGUGGCGCGACCCGCGGGGACGAGGCCCGUCUGCGCGCGGCUGCAGCAGGACCCACUGACCACACAAUGAGUCCCCAACUCUCCGACUCGGGGCGGCCAGCUGUGGUUCCCGCCAGAGCGUUCAAAGACCUCACGCGAGACUAGGAAAUGUAGCUGGGGAAGGAGAGUGUCGGGAAGGCGAGAAAGCGGAGCCGGCCCCAGGUUCCGCGCUGCGCAGAAACCGAGACAGCCCUCUUCCGGCUCCAAGUGGGAUAUCUGCGGAUGCGGAGGUGAGGCCGGAAGUGGAGUUGCCCCUAGGGCAUGUGGGGGGAGCAGAAUCGCGGAUCCAAGGGCUGGACGCCAGGUCCGUGGAGCUGGGCUGGAGGUCAAGGAUGCAUUCCAAGAAAGUACUGAAAAAUAUAUCACCAGCUCCCACCUGAUAGUUGACCUAGCCAUGGAAAACUUCAUUGGAGCCUCACUAAAUCAGACCAUAACUGGCACUCUUAAAAACUCUCCCAUCAAAAAGUAUCAGGACUGACAAUCUAAGACAGGGAUCUAACACCAAGAAAGUUCCUGUACCAGUCAGCAGUCUAACAGAUCAGCUAGUUUCUUUGGUCAUCAAGCAGACAUGCUCAAGCUACCAACACAACAGUGGAAAAUGUCUCUAUAUGAAUGUUUUGCACAUUAUGUGUGUGACCCAUUAGAUUCACAGUGGUUCUCAACCUGUGGGUCGCGACCCCUUUGGGGGUCGAACAAUCCUUUCACAGGAGUUGCCUAAGACC